GCUGACCACAGUCUGGGCUAGCGCCAACUGCGCGGGGGGGGAGGGGGGAGGAAUAUCCCUGCUCCCAAAGUCCUGAGGAGAAGAGGAAGAGUGGUGGAUUGUUGCAGCACAAGUUCUUGCUCUUGGUGAAAAAAUAUCUCUUCUCUGGAAAUUCAUUUCCAUUUACUUAAAGUUAAAUGGUUUGACUUUGAAUUUUCAUUAUCUGCUGUUGGAAGGAGCCUGUGACAGGUAUGAGAGAGAAUGCUACAAAGCUUCAUUGUAUCAUCAAAUUUUUGCUUCACUUUAGUCAGAUAUCAUUUAGGUAGAGAGAAAAUACUAUACGUAGAACAGGAUAAGAUAGAACAAAACAGAACAGAAAUAAAAUAAAAUGAAAAUAGGAUAUAUAAUGAAUUACAGUAGAAAAAUGCCUUUAUCUUGAAGUGAUUUUUUUUUAAGUUAUCCUGAUUCCUCACUAGUGAGAAAAUUGAACUAAUUUUAUAUAAAAGGAAUAUGUCAUAACAGGAUAUGGCAUUUAUCUUCCUGAGAUAGGGGUGACCUCAUCAUUCACAAGUGCCGUAGCUAUGAAUGAGUAAUCAGCCUCCCCACCCAUUAAGUGUAGAUAAAGUCCACAUCUUCUGCCUAAGUAUUAAAUAUUCGAUUUAUUAUUUUACAACUCGCCAUCUCUACAAGUGUCCACUGACUGUUGCUUUAGUCGCUGCUACCAAUAGGUAUUGUCAGUGUGAAGCAAAAGAAGCUCCUUAAAAGGUGCCCUGCAUAAUAGUGAAUGGAAGAUGAGAAGGGAAAUGAAAAUAACAGAGAAGAAAACAACAGAAGAUGGAACUGGAGGAAAAAAAUUAGGGGCAGAAGAGGGAUAAGGAAACUCUUUAACCGACCUAUACUUUUGUUGCCUGUUAUAUUCCAAGAGUUUUAUAACAUACAUGCAGUGAAAAUAUUUUUCAUAUUAAUACCUCAUAUAUAUCAGCUAUCUCCCAUCUCAAGUUAUAUUGCUAAAGUUAUUCUCAAAGGAAUUUAUAUAUGUAUAAUGUGAGAGAAAUAUAUAGUUAGGAAAGAAUUCCUUUUUACUAUUUAUCAACAGUGCACAUUAGAGAAGAGCUGCAGUUAAAAAAAUACAGUUUCUUUCUAGAACUAUAUAAGAUAACAUAAUUUUCUCCUUCAAAUGAUGUCACAUGCUGCAUUUUGUUUUCAUUCCUUUGUAAAAGCAAUGAGAGCAGUUUAAAGAAAAUAUUUGGAGUUUAAUUUUAAAUCCAAAAGAACUGGCUGUUCAUCUGUUUAGAAGAAAAACCUCUAAAUAGAACAUGAAGUCAGGAAAAAGACCAUCAAAACUUAAAUAGGAAGUACUCAAAUAUUUUCCAUCUUCACAAUUCUUUGACAUGUACUCGGGGCUGGAAGAGCAGAUGAGGGAAAUGCCUUUUCUGAAAGGUUGCACUGGGAAUGAAGGGCAAGAUUAAGGUAGCCCCCCUCCCCCCUGUAUUCAGAAGAAAAGCAAGCAGAGAGUAAGAUAGAAGGAAAGUGCCUGGGGAAAGUAGCAUCACUAUCGAAAUCAUAAAAGAUGUAUAAGGACAUCAGUGGAAGAACUAGAAAAACUAUUAGAAGAAUGCCCUACAGGGCUAUCCCAAUGGCUCAGCGAUUAGCACACUGCGCUGCCGCUGGGAAAAAGCAGCCAAGGUUUGAGGCUAAUCUUAGGAUCUCGCUCAUUGGUACUGGCAGCUGAGAGCCGUAUGAGGAUGGCGAGUCCACAGCAGAGAAAUGCCGAUACAUUGCUCACAUGCCCAGAGGUACGUACCUAGGCUCAGGUUUGACCACUGAAGUUGCCUCAGGACGGAGGAUCGGGUUUUCUCUACCAUCAGCUAGCCCAAUUCACUCUCCACGUGCAAGCAAAGGAGCACCUCUGGCCUACUGUGUAAUAACAAAGGACGGCUAAUUUUCCAAGGCUGGAACAUCAGUAUUAAAGUCAAUUUCUCUCGUGUUGCAUACUUUGCUGUGGCCCCACAUUUUAGUGAAUGUGUUAUCUCUUAGCACCAGAGGUUUCCUGCAGUGGUGAACCCCCACAAAUUUUCUAGCAGCUCCAGCAGAAGAUCAAGGGGCAGCCAGCUAGUUUCUCCAGACUCUACCCACUUCUGCAGAGAGUGUGUAACCUGUAAUGUUCCUUCAGGCAGUUUUAGCACCUGUGUAUCCAUUUCCCUUCUCAUCGAGGCCGGUGUUAUGCCUGCAAAGUAGAGUAAUCUGCUACUUUGUUGGCAUCAAAUUGGGGUCAUGGAGACCACAACUAAAUCGUGCUGCUUCAACCUCCACAAAAACCUGAUUCAUACCACACAGCCUGAUAAGAAGCUUAAUUCAAGAAAGCAGAAAACUGAAUCAUGUAGAUGCUUUUUAUCUCCAGGGCUUCUAAGAGAUACCAGCAUAUUAUCCUGUGUUCUCACCACAUUCAGAUUUUUGGUCCUGCUCAUCCAUAAGAUAAGUGAAACUUUUAAAGGACAUGGGGCUAGUCAACCCACUUUUUCAUUUUAUUUAUUUAUUUACAUUUAUCUUUAGCCUCUCUCAGUGUUCCUAAACCAAAAUAAUUUGUGGAAGCAGCUGUUGGUGUGUCCUGGAAAGAUAGUAUCAAUAAGCAGCUCAAGGUUUUUGUCUCUGCUUAGAGGAGGAUUCUUAUCCUUUCCCUCACUAGUCAUUCCCUCCUAACUCAGAAGAAACAGAAACCUAACAUGCUCUUUUUCUCCUAAUUCUUUAUUUUCAUGAAUGAAUCCAAGUUAAUUGUACAUACAGCAAAAAAGCAUUGAGCUUUCACUCUUUCAGAGAAGCCUAGUACAGUCCAAUAUAUCCUUUCUUCUUCGGUAGCUACCAUCAGUGCUCUGCUGAGUCAUACAGCAGCGAACAUGAAACAAGAAUAUUCACAAGACUACUCAUACCUGUGUUUCCUUACUUACCACCCAGGUUGUAAGUCCCAAUCGGCACCAAAACCAACAGCAUAUAAGUGAGUGCUGGGGUCCCUCAGCAGCAGAGGUUCUAAGCAUCCAGUGCAGUUUAAAGCUCUGCUAGGUCCUUAAAGCCAUGCUUCUCCACAGUUGCGGGGUUUUUUUUGUUUGGUUGAUUGGUUGUUUUUUUUUUUCUGAUUUGUAACAGCAGCAUUAUUUUUCAACUCACUGAAGAAGACAAUGCAUCAUGUUCCUGCGUAGCAUGGUCCCAGGUGAAGAAGAGUCCAUGAGUGGGAAUAAUGCAGAAAUAAUUUGACUUUUGAGAGACUGCAAGCUUCAAACCUAUUGUUACAAGAGAUGAUGCUUGAUCAUACUGUCUUCCUUCUACUUAUAAGUCCUGAUAUCUGUAAUAGACUGUGUACAUACAUUCAUAUGGUGCUGCUUGGUUAGGAGAACACACACAGCUUGAGUUAAAUUAAUUAUUUUAUAGAGUUUAAAUACCUACUGUCUUCACUGUUAGUUAGGAAGAUCUUUACCAACUGAAAGAAUAUCCCUUAAUAUAGUCUUCAGGGAAAACAAGCAUUUAGGGAAAAAAAAAAAAAAAACCAACAAAACAAAACCAAGCCAAAAACAACCAACCAAACAAAAAACCCCAACAAAAAGCCAAACAUACCAUAUACAUCCAAAACAUGUUAACCUGAAUGUACCUUUAUAGUUACCAAACAAUAUUUCUUCAGGUAUGGACUGAAUUUUGAUAUUGAACAUUUUAACAUACACACCUUAUCCCAUAAUCUAAAAAAUAACGUAUUUUGCAAGCAGAUACCUAGUGAUUUAUUAUUAGAUUCAGUUAUGAUGCUGCAGGAAUAUAAAAUUAAUACUAACCUUUCAAAAGAGUUCUAGGGUUGAAUCCUCACUAUCAUAUAGAGAAACUAGAAUUUAAUUCUCAUUAACUUUGCUUAGAGUCAGGGCGGGGCAGGGGCAAACAGUAUCUUUGAAAGUUAAACCACUGGUUUUCAUACAUGAAUAUUCAGAAAUCUAGUCACCCCAAAAUAGAGACCACUGUCUGAGACACAGUCCAUGUUUGGAAAGCAAAACUGAGGAUUUCCCAAGGCUUCACGCAGUGAGAAAAGAGGCUGUGGAGCAGAAGAUGCGUCAAUGCCUUUUUCUACCAAUAAGUACUAAAGUUAAUGUGAGUGUGAAUCUAUAUUUCUUUGUUCAGAAUUACUGUAAAUGUCCUCUUGUGGAGAAAUUGCUCAGUCUAAAGAUAAUUAUAGUUACACAGUCAUUCAGGUGAAUUAGUGCAGGGAAACGAAGAAGGCUCACCUCAUCGCUAAUGGACACAAGUGGAAUGCAGUGACUGACUCUAAACACUGUCUGUUCUGAAGUGUCCUAGCCUGGAUACCAGCAAUAGUAUCUGCUUGGAUAGCAGAUGUGUGUGCCCUGCUCACAGCUAAUUAUUUCUGACGAGUGACAGUAUGAUGGUGAUUAAAAAUAUAUAUUAAUAUAUAUGGUAUAUUAGACCUAUAAAUACAUCUUGCCUGAUUUAUUUGGUCUGAGCUCAUCUAUAAAUUGUCUGGCUUCUGAAGGAAAAUGGCAAAAUUGUCUUGCAUGUAGAGGAAUAGAUUUCAAGUUAAAUCAGUGGUUGUAACAAAAAAACCUAAAGGAAUGACAAAAUCUGAAGAGUUCAAACAAGGCAAAUUUUAAUACAUAAAUAUCAGAGGGCAUGUGUAUGUCUCGAAUGGAUACCAAACCUGAGAUCUGGAUGGGUGGAAGACAAAAAAAAAAAAAAAAAAAAAAAAACGAUUCAGAUUAUACUUUCCAUCUGGGAGACCAAGAAGAGCAUUCUAGUACAGCGUAGUGGUUGGAACUGCACCACACCUUAUUCAGUCAUAAAUUUGAGUAAUAACUGAGUUGUAGUCUAUUUCAAACAAGCAAAAGCAAAAAUGCUCAUCUCCCCCCGAUUAUAUCCAUUAUCAGUUUAAUUUUUUAGUUUAUUUUUUUAGGAAACUACAGAAUUCUUCCAAACAAAACUGACCAGACAAACCCCUCCUCCACUCCCUGCCCUCUAAAAUCAAAACAAAAAAUCCCCAACACCACACCACACAUAACAAAGCAUCACCAAAAAAAAAAAAACAAAAAACCAAAAAAAAACCCCACCAAACAUAAAUAAGUAUUUUGAGUAUAUCAUAUUGGACUUUUACUUGCAUGAAGGACAAGGAGAAGUGCUGAUCCAUUUGUUACUAAAAAUGUCAUUCUGGAUUUUUCAUCUUUUCCACACUCCCCCCAAAAGAGUUUAUAAAAGGGUACUAGAAAAAAAAGCCUGAAAAAUACUUCUUUCUUUCAUAUGAAAUAAUAUUCAGUACUGCUUAUCUGGAGUCAAGAAACUACAUUCACGAGAAACAAGUCUUCACUUAAAUAUAUUGAGGUUUGUUCUUGUCUUUAUGAAGUGUUUGAACAUUUGGUCUCGAAAGUAUGAUAGUGGAAUCAGUGGUCUGAUACUAUUAAGAAUUAGUAUGAAAGUGAAUAGAGAAUAAUUUUUAAUAGUGUUUCAUUAAAUCAAUGGGCCAACAUUUUCAGGACUGAGUCUCAUUGAAGUUGUGGAAAUUAAUUUUUGAUUUCAAGCCAUUAAAGUUAAAGGGAACAGGCUACAGAAAGUUAACCCCACACAGCGCAAUUGCAUUCAAUACAGCCUCAUCUUGUGGAGAAAAAAAAAAAAAAAAGACACUAUUAAG